rnacentral:rRNA from 1 species
UACGUAGGGUGCGAGCGUUGUCCGGAAUUAUUGGGCGUAAAGAGCUCGUAGGCGGUCUGUCGCGUCGAUCGUGAAAACUUGGGGCUUAACCCUGAGCUUGCGGUCGAUACGGGCAUGACUGGAGUUCGGCAGGGGGAGACUGGAAUUCCUGGUGUAGCGGUGAAAUGCGCAGAUAUCAGGAGGAACACCGGUGGCGAAGGCGGGUCUCUGGGCCGAUACUGACGCUGAGGAGCGAAAGCGUGGGGAGCAAACAGG